CUAAACACACUGCGCAUGCUCCAUCCCAAAGGGUAAGGCGAGCACUGCGCAUGCAGGAAACCCACCCUGUAAGGGAAGAAUCCUGGGGAAGAGGUGAGCCUAUGAAGUCCCAGGAUCAAGAUGGGACCAUCUAGUUGCAGGAAAACAAGCUGAGGACUCCCACUGAUUCUAGACUGUGAUCAUACCAAUCACCACUGAGAAGCCCAAUCACUACAACCACUAACCACAACAUAAAUCAACGUGAGGACCUGAGAGCUCACUCGCUCCCACUCUGUCCCUAGCCCAGCCUGGUUUUUCCAUCACAUGCUUCUUAGGCAGCAGGGAGCUGAGGCAGGGGGAACAUUUAGUUCCCUUUUCAAAGACUGGGGACACUUAAAAAUAUCUCCAAGUAAGCAACAGCAUUCAGAGGACGCUUAUUUAGACUUUGUAGGAGCCUGGUGUUGGGACUCUGGCUCCUGGAUGGCCUCAAACCUGCCCCUGGGCUUGGCCGAGGCUGGUCUGGGAGUACCAUUUGCAAAUGGCUCUUGCUUCACUGUUGCGUCUCCAUCUGGGUAAACAACCUAGCAACAGCCCUGGCUCUUCUUAAGGCUGUCUGUUAUAGACUGAACUGUGUGCCCCUCAGAUUUAUUUGUUAAAGUCCUGACCCCAGUACACCUCAGAAUGUGACUGCAUAUGGAAAUAGGGCAUGUAAAGCAGUCAUGAAGGUUAAGUAAGGUCAUAUGGAUUGGCUCUAGUUCAAUGUGACUGGUAUCCAUCUAAGAAGAGGAAGAGACACCAGAGCUUACUCUCUUUCCACGCACACAAUGGCCGUGUGAGCACACAGUGAGAAGAUGCUAUCUGCAAGCCAAGAAGAGAGGCCUUGGGAGAAACCAAACCUGCCAACACCUUGAUCUUGGACUUCUAGCCUCAAGAACUGUGAGAAAAUAAAUUUCUGCUGUUUAUUCCACCC